GGGGAAAUAGCUCAGUGGUAGAGCACAUGCUUAGCAUAGCAUGCGUGAGGUCCUGGGUUCAAUCCCCUGUACCUCUG
rnacentral:tRNA from 1 species